UGAACGCUGGCGGCGUGCCUACUACAUGCACGUCGAGCGAACAGACGCGGAGCUUGCUCCUCUGACGUUAGCGGCGGACGGGUGAGUAACACGUGGAUAACCUACCUAUAAGACUGGGAUAACUUCGGGAAACCGGAGCUAAUACCGGAUAAUAUAUUGAACCGCAUGGUUCAAUAGUGAAAGACGGUUUUGCUGUCACUUAUAGAUGGAUCCGCGCCGCAUUAGCUAGUUGGUAAGGUAACGGCUUACCAAGGCAACGAUGCGUAGCCGACCUGAGAGGGUGAUCGGCCACACUGGAACUGAGACACGGUCCAGACUCCUACGGGAGGCAGCAGUAGGGAAUCUUCCGCAAUGGGCGAAAGCUUGACGGAGCAACGCCGCGUGAGUGAUGAAGGUCUUCGGAUCGUAAAACUCUGUUAUUAGGGAAGAACAAAUGUGUAAGUAACUAUGCACGUCUUGACGGCACCUAAUCAGAAAGCCACGGCUAACUACGUG
rnacentral:rRNA from 1 species